rnacentral:rRNA from 1 species
AGUGAACGCUGGCGGUAGGCCUAACACAUGCAAGUCGAACGGCAGCACAGGAGAGCUUGCUCUCUGGGUGGCGAGUGGCGGACGGGUGAGGAAUACAUCGGAAUCUACUCUGUCGUGGGGGAUAACGUAGGGAAACUUACGCUAAUACCGCAUACGACCUACGGGUGAAAGCAGGGGAUCUUCGGACCUUGCGCGAUUGAAUGAGCCGAUGUCGGAUUAGCUAGUUGGCGGGGUAAAGGCCCACCAAGGCGACGCUCCGUAGCUGGUCUGGGAGGAUGAUCAGCCACCCUGGAACGGAGACACGGUCCCGACUCCUACGGGAGGCAGCAGUGGGGAAUAUUGGACAAUGGGCGCAAGCCUGAUCCAGCCAUACCGCGUGGGUGAAGAAGGCCUUCGGGUUGUAAAGCCCUUUUGUUGGGAAAGAAAUCCAGCUGGCUAAUACCCGGUUGGGAUGACGGUACCCAAAGAAUAAGCACCGGCUAACUUCGUGCCAGCAGCCGCAGUAA